rnacentral:rRNA from 1 species
UACAUGGGGUGCAAACGUUGCUCGGAAUUACUGGGCGUAAAGAGCUCGUAGGUGGUUUGUCGCGUUGUUCGUGAAAACUCACAGCUCAACUGUGGGCGUGCGGGCGAUACGGGCAGACUUGAGUACUGCAGGGGAGACUGGAAUUCCUGGUGUAGCGGUGGAAUGCGCAGAUAUCAGGAGGAACACCGGUGGCGAAGGCGGGUCUCUGGGCAGUAACUGACGCUGAGGAGCGAAAGCGUGGGGAGCGAACAGG